rnacentral:rRNA from 1 species
GACGAACGCUGGCGGCAUGCCUAACACAUGCAAGUCGAGCGAGCAGAUCCCUUCGGGGUGAAGCUAGCGGCGGACGGGUGAGUAACACGUGGGCAACCUGCCUCAUAGAGGGGAAUAGCCUUCCGAAAGGAAGAUUAAUACCGCAUAAGAUUGUGGCUUCGCAUGAAGCAGCAAUUAAAGGAGCAAUCCGCUAUGAGAUGGGCCCGCGGCGCAUUAGCUAGUUGGUGAGGUAACGGCUCACCAAGGCGACGAUGCGUAGCCGACCUGAGAGGGUGAUCGGCCACAUUGGGACUGAGACACGGCCCAGACUCCUACGGGAGGCAGCAGUGGGGAAUAUUGCACAAUGGGGGGAACCCUGAUGCAGCAAUGCCGCGUGAGUGAUGACGGCCUUCGGGUUGUAAAGCUCUGUCUUCGGGGACGAUAAUGACGGUACCCGAGGAGGAAGCCACGGCUAACUACGUGCCAGCCGCCGCGGUAA